rnacentral:rRNA from 1 species
CCUACGGGAGGCAGCAGUGAGGAAUAUUGGUCAAUGGACGAGAGUCUGAACCAGCCAAGUAGCGUGAAGGAUGACUGCCCUAUGGGUUGUAAACUUCUUUUAUAUGGGAAUAAAACGUUCCACGUGUGGGAUUUUGUAUGUACCAUAUGAAUAAGGAUCGGCUAACUCCGUGCCAGCAGCCGCGGUAAUACGGAGGAUCCGAGCGUUAUCCGGAUUUAUUGGGUUUAAAGGGAGCGUAGGUGGAUUGUUAAGGCAGUUGUGAAAGUUUGCGGCUCAACCGUAAAAUUGCAGUUGAAACUGGCAGUCUUGAGUACAGUAGAGGUGGGCGGAAUUCGGGGUGUAGCGGUGAAAUGCUUAGAUAUCACGAAGAACUCCGAUUGCGAAGGCAGCUCGCUGGACUGCAACUGACACUGAGGCUCGAAAGUGUGGGUAUCAAACAGGAUUAGAUACCCCGGUAGUC